rnacentral:rRNA from 1 species
AUGGCCACUGCAAGAGCUCUAGCCACCAUGGCAGUUUUCCUCCUGGUGGCCCUCUCCACCUCCCACAUCGCGUCCUCGCUCCGCCCAGGUCUCGGUGUGUGCCGUGCAAGUGGCUACCUUCCAGGAAAGUCAGGCAACUGUGAGAAGAGCAACGACCCCGACUGCUGCGAGGAUGGCAAGAGAUACCCGCAGUACCACUGCUCGCCGCCGGUCACCGCGACCACCAAGGCCGUCUUGACGCUCAACAGCUUCGAGAAGGGCAAGGACGGCGGCGGUCCGUCCGAGUGUGACAAUUCCUACCACAGCGAUAAGGAGAUGGUCGUUGCGCUCUCCACCGGCUGGUUCAAGAACAUGGCCCGUUGCGGGCACCGCAUCAAGAUCAGCGCCAAUGGCAAGUCUGUGUAUGCCAAGGUGGUGGACGAGUGUGACUCCGUCUAUGGCUGCGACGAAGACCAC